rnacentral:misc_RNA from 1 species
UUAAGUUCAGCGGGUAGUCCUACCUGAUUUGAGAUCAAACGUUCAAAGAGCUUUCCUCGUUGAGGAGAGACGUUUAUGAGCCCCGGUGAACCUUCAUCACUGAAGGUUGCAUGAUGGAAAACCACAAGCGUAGAUAGUUAUCACACUUGUGAUGCCACCAAACACUGGUAAGCUGAUUCAUUUGAGAGGAGCUGACCACA